UCCCUGGCAGUCCAGUGGCUAGGACUCGGCACUUUCACCGCUGAGGCCCAGGUUCAGUCCUUGGCCAGGUAA
rnacentral:tRNA from 1 species